CAAAAAACCAAAUAUAUUAAAACAUAUAUGACAAUAGUACAAAAACUCUUCAUCGUUCACUACAAGAGAUCGAGUUUAAUCCUGGCCACAACUCAAAUUCAAUUACGGGCACUUUUCUGUAUUGGGCAGUAACUGGGAACUGACAGCCCCAUGGACAGCGGUCAAAGUAAAUGUUACAGUGAAAUUCGUUGUUGGUGAUUUGAAUGUGGUGUAUACAACACCAAGAAUGAAAGAGUGUGCCGAUGUUGUUGUGUUUGAGGGAGCUGAACAAAAGAAGGAGCUAUGGCAGUAGAAGAAGAGACUGAGGGUCGUAUUUGGGACAAUUUUUUAUGUUAUAUAUAUGCCAUUUGAUCUCUCCAAUGCUACAUCUACUGCUUGCACUUCCUGUUUCUCACUUUCUUGUUACAUUUCCUUUCUCUUAACUUAGCCAAUUGUUCAGCCGACAACAUGAAUGUUUUGAUCGCCUCAUCUUUUUCUUCCAGUUUAGACACAAGGUUCAGAAUCUUUUCCUGUAUCAUCACCCAAUUAACAUUUAACAGUUG
rnacentral:misc_RNA from 1 species